rnacentral:rRNA from 1 species
UACGUAGGGUGCAAGCGUUGUCCGGAAUUAUUGGGCGUAAAGAGCUCGUAGGCGGUUCGUCGCGUCGGCUGUGAAAUCCCGAGGCUCAACCUCGGGUCUGCAGUCGAUACGGGCGGACUGGAGUUCGGCAGGGGAGACUGGAAUUCCUGGUGUAGCGGUGAAAUGCGCAGAUAUCAGGAGGAACACCGAUGGCGAAGGCAGCUCGCUGGGACGGUACUGACGCUGAGGCGCGAAAGCGUGGGGAGCAAACAGG